UCCGCGUCAGGGCUGCCGAGUUAAGAUGGAAGAAAGUCGUGACGCGGGUCGUGGACGCUGCAAAUCACGUGCGUGAGGACGAUUUCCAGAGCGGCCCAAGCGGCGUCCGUGAUCAUAGAGCAGGUCGGGAGGUUCAGCAGUGAAGCUCCGCCCGUGAAGCCCCUAACGAGCAGAGCUGCUGUUAGAGAUUCUGCUGUCAGGUCUGUCUGUGUCUGAGCUCCAUCAUAAACAAGCUGCUGUGUAAGGUGAACAGAGGAAGAGCUGAUUUACACUUUACUGUGUCAGACAGCUGUGGAGAGGUGAUGUGAUCUGACAGCCAGUUUGAUAAACACUGAUUAGUUGAUGUUUUAUUGUGUAUUUCAUGUUUGUGUAACAUGUUAUUUGUUCACUUGUUAUUUACUUCUUUCUUAAUAAAGUUUAAUGUGACAUA